rnacentral:rRNA from 1 species
AACGAACGCUGGCGGCAGGCCUAACACAUGCAAGUCGAGCGCCCCGCAAGGGGAGCGGCGGACGGGUGAGUAACGCGUGGGAAUUUUCCUCAAGGUACGGAACAACUCAGGGAAACUUGGGCUAAUACCGUAUGAUGUCUAGCGACCAAAGAUUUAUCGCCUUGGGAUAAGCCCGCGUCAGAUUAGGUAGUUGGUGGGGUAACGGCCUACCAAGCCUACGAUCUGUAGCUGGUCUGAGAGGACGAUCAGCCACAUUGGGACUGAGACACGGCCCAA